GACGAACGCUGGCGGCGUGCUUAACACAUGCAAGUCGAACGGAAAGGCCCUGCUUUUGUGGGGUGCUCGAGUGGCGAACGGGUGAGUAACACGUGAGUAACCUGCCCUUGACUUUGGGAUAACUUCAGGAAACUGGGGCUAAUACCGGAUAGGAGCUCCUGCUGCAUGGUGGGGGUUGGAAAGUUUCGGCGGUUGGGGAUGGACUCGCGGCUUAUCAGCUUGUUGGUGGGGUAGUGGCUUACCAAGGCUUUGACGGGUAGCCGGCCUGAGAGGGUGACCGGCCACAUUGGGACUGAGAUACGGCCCAGACUCCUACGGGAGGCAGCAGUGGGGAAUAUUGCACAAUGGGCGGAAGCCUGAUGAAGAAACGCCGCGUGCGGGAUGACGGCCUUCGGGUUGUAAACCGCUUCCGCCUGUGACGAAGCGUGAGUGACGGUAAUGGGUAAAGAAGCACCGGCUAACUACGUG
rnacentral:rRNA from 1 species